UGGAUACUCGAGCAGACCAUCUCUGGACAAGCAGUGAAGACAAGACACUCUUUCCUUCUCUGGGCGUCUCUCCUGAGCAUAGAGAUCUGCCUCUUCUCAUCUAUAGCGUGCAUGAGAGGAGGAGAAUGAACAAGUGUGUUUGAUCUGGAGAAAGAGAGAGAGAGGGGUAUGAUUACUCACGUAGCUCUGCGGCGAGCUUCCAUUCUCUAUGCAGACAAGAACGUGCCUGUAUCACUCUGGCGGUGCCUUCCUUUACCUCUGCCGUUGCCAGCGUGGUUCUGCCUGAGAGACAGAGGAGAAAAACAGAGUGACGUGGAGAGAAAAAAAGAUAGAGAAACAGUAAAGAGUUUGACCCAUCGAGUUUUUGUGGAUCGUGCAUUAUUUGUGGACUGGUUGCAUAUGACUCAUUGAUAGUCAUAAGGAGGCUUCCUGUCAUGUGACUUUUUUCCUGUACAGUGAGCUCAAGGUAAACUGCCUCCCUCUGAAACUUUAUCCAGCGGUGUCGCUGUAGAAUUGUAUUUAUUAUUAUUUAUGAUUUAUACAUUAUUUAUAUAAAUUUUGUCCUGAGGGAAAGGGGAGUCUGUUUCCCUUUCCCUCUCUGAGAAAACACCCUUGACACACACACAUGCUUGUAUUGAUUUGCUACCGUGCUGUCACUGCGUGUGUGUGCCGUACAUCUCUUAGCUGCAAAUCAUGAUUCAGAACAGGAUCGGUACACACAAAGACACCCGCGCAGAGACUCAGUGGUGUCAGUGGGAGAUGUGUCGUCUUAAGCUAACCUCCGCCCUUCGGGAUAUGACACUGGAAGACAAAGUAGGAUUAUCUUUUCUUUCAGAUCUUCUGUUGCAAAGCCCGAACAAAAUAGCAGCUAAAGACAAAUGGUUUAAUCAGAACAGACAGUCCAAUGUUUGAUACACAUUUCUGUGUAUGUGCACUUUGGAGGUAACACUGAGUCACUGACACGUAGGAAAAAAUGGGGCGGUUCAUCUAACACUGACAAGGAUGUAAGGAAUCGAUUAAGAAUACUGUAUGUUAUAAUGUGUUCCAUAGAAUGUUGUGUUGAUUUCAUGGAUUUGUGAAAUUUGUAAUUGUUUAGUCAUAUGAUUAAGAAAUUAUAAAUAAUAAUUUUUAUGGUGACUAUGUGUUGCUCUGCAAAGUCUAAGGUGUUCUGGGAGGUUUUCUUUAUUAUAUUGCUUUUUUCUUUCCUUUUAUCCAUGUUGCAGUUUCUAGGAGGUUAUGGUUGGUUGCUAGGAUGUUGUUAGUUUUUUUUCCCCCAGGAUUAUGUGUGUGUGUAUGUGUGUGUGUGUGUGUGUAUACAGUGCCUUGUGAAAGUAUUCA